AUUGAACGCUGGCGGAAUGCUUUACACAUGCAAGUCGAACGGCAGCACGGACUUCGGUCUGGUGGCGAGUGGCGAACGGGUGAGUAAUGUAUCGGAACGUGCCCAGUCGUGGGGGAUAACGUAGUGAAAAUUACGCUAAUACCGCAUACGAUCUAUGGAUGAAAGCGGGGGAUCGCAAGACCUCGCGCGAUUGGAGCGGCCGAUACCAGAUUAGGUAGUUGGUGGGGUAAAGGCCCACCAAGCCAACGAUCUGUAGCUGGUCUGAGAGGACGACCAGCCACACGGGAACUGGGACACGGUCCAGACUCCUACCGGAGGCAGCAGUGGGGAAUUUUGGACAAUGGGCGGAAGCCUGAUUCAGCCAUUCCGCGUGCAGGAUGAAGGCCCUCGGGUUGUAAACUGCUUUUGUACAGAACGAAAAGGUUUCUACUAAUACUAGGAGCUCAUGACGGUACUGUAAGAAUAAGCACCGGCUAACUACGUGCCAGCAGCCGCAGUAA
rnacentral:rRNA from 1 species